AUUGAACGCUGGCGGCAGGCCUAACACAUGCAAGUCGAACGAGUGGCGGACGGGUGAGUAAUGUCUGGGAAACUGCCUGAUGGAGGGGGAUAACUACUGGAAACGGUAGCUACUACCGCAUACCAUCGGAUGUGCCAAGAUGGGAUUAGCCAGUAGGUGGGGUAACGGCGCACCUAGGCGACGAUCACUAGCUGGGCUGAGAGGGUGACCAGCCACACUGGAACGGAGACACGGUCCUGACUCCUACGGGAGGCAGCAGGGGGGAAUAUUGCACAAUGGGCGCAAGCCUGAGGCAGCCAUGCCGCGUGUGUGAAGAAGGCCUUCGGGUUGUAAAGCACUUUCAGCGAGGAGGCGUUACCCGCAGAAGAAGCACCGGCUAACUCCGUGCCAGCAGCCGCGGUAAUUC
rnacentral:rRNA from 1 species